rnacentral:lncRNA from 1 species
CCAGCACCCGGUUAUGUUGCGAGUGGGCUGGGUGGUGUCUUCGCAUCCAUUUUCUUCUGUACAGGCAAGAGCUUUCAAACCAAAAAUCUAACAGUUUGUGUGCUGUCCUGAGAAAGGUCUCUGGUGACGAGGGAAGAUGAUUCAUAUGUGUACACCUGACCUUAUAAAAAUAGUCUUCGUAUUUAUCAUAAAGUUGAAUUUAUGCUGCAAUCAGACAUUUAUUCCAGUUUCUUUUUGUGUAUCUUUAAUAGACCAUUUAGUUUGUAGAUCUCUGUUAAAAUAAGUCUGUUUUCUUUUCUCCAAAAUUUGCCUAUAGUUUUUCUUCUUUAUGAAAAAAAUGAAACAAAUAGUUUCUUUCAUCAAGACAUUUUUUGCAAAGUUUCAGCUAACACAUUGUAGUGACUAAAAAUUGCCUUUGCCUAUUAUUUAUUGUUCAGAAAGUAAAAUUUAAGUGUAUUUAUUAACUAACAAUUCUGUCUUUAGAGUAAAAGUUAUUAGGUUUCUAAUACUAAUAGUUCUUUCACAUGCUUUCUGGAGUUCCUGUUGUGGCACAGUGGAAACCAAUCCGAUUAGGAACCAUGAGGUUGAAGGUUCGAUCCCUGUCCUUGCUCAGUGGGUUAAGGAUCCGGCAUUGCUGUGAACUGUGGUGUAGGUCACAGACAUGGCUCGGAUCUGGCAUUGCUGUGGCUCUGGCGUAGGCUCACAGUAACAGCUCUGGUUCGACCCCAAGCGUGGGAACCUCCGUAUGCUGCGAGUGCAGGCCUAAAAAGACACAACAAAAAAGAAAAGAAAAGAAAGGCUUUCUAUUCACGCCCUGAAACUACAUUUUUUAGCUUUUAGACUAUAGAUUAUCCAUUUUUUUGGUAUGGAUGCUGAAAUUUAGUUUUUGAAACUGAACCCAUAUUUGUUUAUAUGUCUCUCACAUAAUAGGAUUCUGGAUGAUGAGUGGUUUUCUGUGCACACGUGAAGGAUUAGAUACAUAUCUUUCUUUUUUCCAAAAAUGCCAUCAGCAUUGUCAGGCUCUGAAUAAUAUAGGUAGAAAACUGCCUCAAUAUUUCUGACAUUUCUUUUUUUAAAAAUAGCCACAAUGCAGAAUGAAUAAAUAUUAACAUUUCAUAAAGCGUGACCAUGAAAUAACAAAACUCCUUUUUUUUUUUCAAAAAAGCUCAUGUACUGAAAUUUAUAUUCAAAUGAAUGUUGCCCUUCGCUGAGGUCGCCUUGGAUUUCAGAAAUGCUGCCAUUGUUCAAAAUAUUUUGUUAGCACGUUUUGGGGUCUGUUUUUAGAGCCAAUUUAUGCACCCGGAAGCAUUCCUCAGUGAACACUGGGAAGGCAUUGUGUUUUUAUGAUCAGUGCAAAUGUGGAGGCAGACUUUCUGAGAUGCUAAUAAUUUCUUUUUUGCUUUUGUGAAUAUAUCUAUUUAUAUUUUUCAAAAGCACUAAGUUUACAGUCCUAAGAUACUCAGAAUGACAUUCUUUGCGUCCUUAGACUUGAGGUGUUUCUUUUGAUGAGUCUGUGCCCUCCUCAUGAAAUAUGUUUUUAUUCUAAAGACUACUCUUCUUUAUUCUAGACAAAAGAUAUGUCUAUCACAUAGGAGGAGGGCUCAGAGGCUCAUGGACUCUGAGGUCACACUUUGGUUUGAGGGCUUCAGAGACUAUUCAGGACAUUUGGACUCUUAUUAAAAAACAGGAAACACAUGUUCAGGCUGGAUCAAGAAGUAUGGAUGGGCUCAUUGUUUUGUUCACAUCUUGUGAUAUCAUUUAGUCAUAUCUUUAUCCUUACUAGAACUCAUGGGAUUAUACCUAACCCGCCCCUGCUCGGGGCUCUUUUACUGGAUAUGGAGCUUACCAGAGCCUAUAGCACUCUGCAUACCUAGUUACUAUUUGAUAUUCACUUGCAUUAGGGAUGUACAAAAUGCAUCCUAAAGAGCCAGUGUAUACCAGGCCCACAUGGGUUUACUAGUGUAUUUUACCAAACAUUUCGGAGAGGAAUUAUACCAAUUCCCUAAAAUCUCUUCCAGAAGGUAGAAGCAGAGAGAAUACUUCCUAACUCAUUCUGUGAUGCUCAAAUUACCCUAAUGCCAAAACUAGAAAGCCAUUAAAAGAAUAUUGCUCCAAUAUCCCUCAUGAACAGAGAAGCAAAAGCCCUUAAUAAGAGCCAACCCAUGGGCCAUCAUGCCAGAUAAAGGAGUGAUGGAGCUAUGGAGGGAUGUUUUGUUUCUACUUGACGCUGUUCCUUUACUCAGCCAAAGGUUACUCUUCUGAGUACUAUCCUACAUGGUCACGAAGUCAGACAAGUUACCAUCCCUCGUUUUGCCAUUCACUUAUUAAUUCACUUUUCCAGCAACAUUUCUUCAGCAUAUACAAGGUGUCAGGCACUGUACUUGGUCCUGGGGAGUAAAUCAGCGAGCAAAAUAGGCCAAACCCCUGCCCUUGCGGAGCUUACAUUCUACUGGGCAAAGAGAUGACCAACACGAUAUGCAUGUGUUAGUGAUACAUGUUACACUCACGCCAUUCUUAGCACGUAUGUGGAGGUGAAAUGCACAGAGGUUGUUCAAGGUGCCUUAUAGAGCAGGUGGCUUCAUGUAAAACCCCAAAGGAUGUGAAGGAAAGAGUCUUGACAGUGUCUCCUGGAGAAGAGAAAGUAGAAGGGACAAGAAGACAAUUGCCGGGAGGCCAGGAAGGGUGAGAGAAGGGAGGUACUUGGAGGUCAAGUUGAAGUGAGGUGGAAACCCGGUCAUGAAGGGCCUUGUGGGAAAUAGCAGGGAGCUUGGAUUUUCCACUAAGUGUAGUGGGAAACCACUGGAGGGUGUUCACUGAGCAAAUGCUAUGAAAUGAUUGACUAGUUUAGAAAUUUAUUCUCGCUUCUAUGGAGAAAAUUAUAUUUAGGUGUCAAAAGUACAGGCAGAAAGACCAGUAGGACGUUUCUGCAGGGGUGCAGGAGAGGAAGCUCUCAGAAGGUCACUAGCUUUGAUCAGGCUCAUGGCAGAAUAAUGGGGAAAAGUAAAAAAAGGCUUUUGAGACAUAGCUUCCAAGUAGAACCUAUAUGACCUGUUGAUGGAUUGGUUAUAUGGAAUAAGAGAGUAUUAUCCUAGGAUAAGUAUUAUCCUAGGUUUCUGCCUUGAACAACUUAGUGAAGACUUUCACCAUAAUUGGGAAGAUUGAAAACAGAAUCAGAUAAAGGAGGGGAAAAAAGCUUUAUUUUUUACAUAGUAGGCUUGGUUUGAGAAGAUUUGUAGGUAACAUUCUGUUUUUCUCUUGCUGCCUUUAGGAUCCUCUCUUUAUCACUAACUUUUGCCAUUUUUAUUAUGAUGUGUCUUGGUGUGGGUCUGUUUGGGUUCAGUUUGUUUGGGGCCCUCUGUGCUUCUUGUAUCUUGAACCCAGUAUCCUUUAGAUUUGGGAAGUUUCCAGCGAUAAUUUCUUCAAAUAUAUUUUCCAUCCCCUUAUCUUUUUCUACUCCUUCUGGAAUUCCUAUUAUGCGUAGAUUGGCCCGCUUUAUAUUAUCCCAUAGGUCUCUUAUAUUGCUUGGGCUUAUCAGACACAACUUAGAAUAGAUUUACAAGGAGAUCCUGCUGAAUAGCAUUGAGAACUAUGUCUAGAUACUCAUGUUGCAACAGAAGAAAGGGUGGGGGAAAAAAUCUAAUUGUAAUGUAUACGUGUAAGGAUAACCUGACCCCCUUGCUGUACAGUGGG